UGUCCACAUUGUUGUCUUUGUAAUCAAUUUGGUUCCUCAGUCAGGGCCUUUUUUGAGAGACCGACAGCACACAGCACCUGACACACCGCCCUGGGCCCUGGGUGAUAGAGCCAGACGCAGAGAUCCUCUCCUUAAUGCCUCACACCUGGUGCAGAUCUGGAGAGGCUUCCACCACAGGCAGAAUUCACAGAGAGUGAUAGAGGGCUUCAGGCUAUCCCUACUCGCGGCUAGCAAAGUUGUUCUCCCCGUCGGGACUACAAGAACACAAUUGUGUAUGUGUGUGAGAGAGAGGUAGAAGAUGAAACAGCCGUCGAGGAGGUGUUGAUCACACAGCCAGACAGGUCUUUGCCGUUUAAGUGUGUUCUCAGACUCCUAAUGCCUCACAGAUGUCUGGUCUGUGUCAUGUUUCUCUGUGAAGGUUUGUUAAGGGGCUUCAAAACUCAAGAUCAGGAGCUUCGGCUCAACGCUCUGCAGGCUGACUGACUGCUGG
ensembl:lncRNA